rnacentral:lncRNA from 1 species
GUCCCAGGGGAAACACAUUUGUUGGUUUUUAGGUGCCAAAAGUUCUUUCCUAAUUUCCCGCUAGUAUAUCACCAAUGUGAUAAGGGUAAAAAGUUCUACUACAGUUGUACAAAGUAAAACGUUGACACAGCAUUUCUGCACACAUUUCAGCCAUUAUUGAUUCGUCAGUUGAGGCGCAUGCCUUGUCCCAUUUAAUCAUACUCGUUGCAGUAAUACUACGCAGUAGCCCGGUUUAUGGCACUUUUUGCUUUUUGUGCUGAAUGCUUCAAG